GUAGUCCACGCUGUAAACGAUGUCUACUGGCCGUUGGCCUCCUUGAGGGGUUAGUGGCGUAGCUAACGCGAUAAGUAGACCGCCUGGGGAGUACGGCCGCAAGGUUAAAACUCAAAUGAAUUGACGGGGGCCCGCACAAGCGGUGGAGCAUGUGGUUUAAUUCGACGCAACGCGAAGAACCUUACCUACUCUUGACAUCCUGCGAAACCUGUAGAGAUAUGGGUGUGCCUUCGGGAGCGCAGAGACAGGUGCUGCAUGGCUGUCGUCAGCUCGUGUCGUGAGAUGUUGGGUUAAGUCCCGUAACGAGCGCAACCCUUGUCCUUAGUUGCUAGCAGGUUAAGCUGAGAACUCUAAGGAGACUGCCGGUGACAAACCGGA
rnacentral:rRNA from 1 species